GUGCUCAUUUUGGCAGCACAUCAGUAAAAUCAGGAAGAUCUAGAGAAGAUUAGCUAUGACUUCUCUGCGAGGGUGAUAUGAAAAUGCGUGAAGUGUUCCAUAUUUAU
rnacentral:snRNA from 1 species